AACGAACGCUGGCGGCAUGCCUAACACAUGCAAGUCGAACGAGACCCCUGACUUCGGUUGGCGGGUCUAGUGGCGCACGGGUGCGUAACGCGUGGGAAUCUGCCCUUGGGUUCGGAAUAACUCAGAGAAAUUUGAGCUAAUACCGGAUGAUGACGAAAGUCCAAAGAUUUAUCGCCCAGGGAUGAGCCCGCGUAAGAUUAGCUUGUUGGUGGGGUAAUGGCCUACCAAGGCGACGAUCUUUAGCUGGUCUGAGAGGAUGAUCAGCCACACUGGGACUGAGACACGGCCCAGACUCCUACGGGAGGCAGCAGUGGGGAAUAUUGGACAAUGGGCGCAAGCCUGAUCCAGCAAUGCCGCGUGAGUGAUGAAGGCCUUAGGGUUGUAAAGCUCUUUUACCAGGGAUGAUAAUGACAGUACCUGGAGAAUAAGCUCCGGCUAACUCCGUGCCAGCAGCCGCGGUAAUGUCACGUCG
rnacentral:rRNA from 1 species